rnacentral:lncRNA from 12 species
UAACUGCUGGACUUGCCAUUCUUCUGAUAGGCAUGGAGUUAGGCCUUGGCUCAGAGACCAGCAAGUAUCGAAGUUGCUUCUAUGGCUAUGUUCGUACUGAAGACCAAAUGUGUUCAUUUUUUGAGAGAUAUGAUCUGGGAAUCCUUGGAAUAUUGCUGGUGUUCUCCAUCCUUCAGUUCAUCAUCUCCAUCUUUAUCUCAGCAUUUGCCUGCANUGUUCCAUUUUAAAUUAACUUUAUUCUUGUAUUGUUGAAAUGUAGUUAUGCUACAUAACACAUUUACUCCUAAUUAAAAACAUUAUAUUUUAUGAAAAGGAUAUAGGAACUAUAAAGUCAGUCUUUGGGUGCUUCUCAAUUGGAAUGCUAUGUAGUAAGGUUGCAUAUCUUGGCUGCCACGUCAUCAAGAUUUUGGAGAUGUUGUGACUGCUGGGGCAGAAACAUUUAUGAUGCAUUUAUACUCACUUACUAGACCAUCUUAUUCUAGUGUUUAAUGUUGAGCAGGACUCAAUGUUUUGAAGCUUCAGAAGAACUGGACUAUAUGUCUCCUCAACAGGAUGCAGCCUUCCAUUUGAGAAGCACCCAUUGUAAUCUAUAGACUUUUUCCCUAUUGUUUGUGUUUGGAUCUUAGUCUUUUGUGUACUAACAUAUCUUGUCUGUUACAUUCCAGGGAUACUGAGUCACAGUAUGGAGAUCCAACCAUCUAAAGUUUGCAAGUAAUUAAUGUCAUAUUGUUGCUUCUAAUGACUCAAGCUAUUUUUAGUGUUACAGUAACUGAACAGGAAUAAAAAUCAUGUACGUAUCUAUAACAGAGCAAGAAUAUUUGUGUAUAUUUUAUAAUUAGCCUAUUGUAAAAUGGACCUGCAGAGUUUAGACCUAAGCUUGAUCAAACACACAUGAACAAGCUAAUCAAGGUCUUUGGGAUUCCUAGAAAAUUACAGGCAGCUCAAUUACAAUUGAUCAAGGUUGGAGCUAACCAUGCAGGACCAUAGAUCUUGAGGGCCUGAGUUGAGAAACCAUGUACUAUAUAUUGUCAACUACAUGUUAACACAAUUUUUAAAGAAAGACUUAAUUUGACUGAUAUAUUUGUCAGUGGAUCUCUACAAAUAUCCUCAAUCCUAUAAUGUUUCAAUGUAUUAGUUGAAACAUUGAUAAAAAUGGCUCUCACAAGACACAGAAAAACAAACACAAUGUAUUUUUAUUCUAGUAAUGUAUAGUACAGUGUUCUGAAAUAAACAGAAAUAUUCUGCAUUAAUAAACAGACUUUUUUUCUUUUUUCUUUUUUUAAAUGACAUUUAUACCAGCAGGGACUAACUGACCAUGCUAACAGUCAAAUAAGCACAUAAAAUUAAAAGCCUAUUUUGAGAAUUAUGAAUCUGUAUUUGAAUGCUAUACAAUAACCUAGCAAAGUCACAAUAACUCUGUAUGAAUUUUCUAAAUGUAUCUUUUAUGUAUUUAACAUAAUGAUAGCUGUUUAAUGGUGGUUUUUAAAAAUGUCUAAAUCUUUGUUUAAAGCUUUUGAAGUUGUACAACAGAAUUUAAGUAAAGGAACUGUUUAAAGAAUUGUUUAAAGAAUCGUAAGGGUACAUGAAUAGCCACCUUAACUAAUGUUAGUACGUUUGAUAGUUUAAGGAUUAGUUCACUUUCAAAUUAAACUUCCCUGAUAAUUUACUCUCCCCCAUGUCAUCCAAGAUGUUUACGUCUUUCUUUCUUCAGCCAAAAACAAAUUAAGGUUUUUGAUGAAAACAUUCCAGGAUUAUUUUCCUUAUAGUGGACUUCAACGGCUACCAAAUGGUUGGAGGUCAAAAUUACAGUUUCAGUGCAGCUUCAAAAGGCUCUACAUGAAACCAGAUGAGGAAUAAGGGUCUUAUCUAGCGAAAUAAUCGUUCAUUUUCUAAAAAAAAUAAAAUAAAAUAAAAAGCAAAUGCUUUAUAAACAAAAAUGCCCGCCUU